rnacentral:rRNA from 1 species
CCCUUAGAUGUUCUGGGCCGCACGCGCGCUACACUGAUGCAUUCAACGAGUCUAAAACCUGCUCUGAUAGGGGUGGGUAAUCUUUUGAAUGUGCAUCGUGAUUGGGAUAGAUGAUUGCAAUUUUUCAUCUUCAACGAGGAAUGCCUAGUAAACGCAAGUCAUCAGCUCGCAUUGAUUACGUCCCUGCCCUUUGUACACACCGCCCGUCGCUCCUACCGAUUGAAUGAUCCGAUGAAUAUCAUGGAUUGAGGAUGCAAGUAGGUUCGCCUAUCUUCAUCUUCGAGAAGUGAAGUAAAUCUUAUCAUUUAGAGGAAGGAGAAGUCGUAACA